UUGACAGAACUGGAGACUGAAGUCUUCUGUCCAUUGUACCGGUACAGCAUGGGCAGCAGGAGUGCAAGGUUUUUUCCCAGAGUCCCACCAAUAUUGUCUCAGUCCAGUUCUGGAGAGAGAGUUAAGGUAAUGUGUUAACUUGGAAGUUACUCUUAUGCAUUCCUAUACUAAU
rnacentral:sRNA from 1 species